AAAUUGAAGAGUUUGAUCAUGGCUCAGAUUGAACGCUGGCGGCAGGCCUAACACAUGCAAGUCGAACGGUAACAGGAAGCAGCUUGCUGCUUCGCUGACGAGUGGCGGACGGGUGAGUAAUGUCUGGGAAACUGCCUGAUGGAGGGGGAUAACUACUGGAAACGGUAGCUAAUACCGCAUAACGUCGCAAGACCAAAGAGGGGGACCUUCGGGCCUCUUGCCAUCGGAUGUGCCCAGAUGGGAUUAGCUUGUUGGUGGGGUAACGGCUCACCAAGGCGACGAUCCCUAGCUGGUCUGAGA
rnacentral:rRNA from 1 species